UCCCUGCUGGUUUAGCAGUAAAGAAACUGCCUGUAAUGCAGCAGACCCAGGUUCAGUCCCUGGGUUGGGAC
rnacentral:tRNA from 1 species